rnacentral:lncRNA from 1 species
GUGGGGAAAGAGCGCCUGCUUGCUGUUUAACUUCCUGUUAGCCUGAAAACAGACCUACGUUUCACCCGCCCUAAAAUUCGCGGGUCGACGGAAAGGGCGAAAUGUAAGUCUGAUGAAAAUGUUGUCAAAAUCGCCAUCCGCCCACUUUGCAUUUUGCAAUAAUUAACGAUCAUGAUUGACACAUUUACAUGUAAACACCUAAAAAUACAAUGAAAUGUGUUGAUUCACUUUAUUGAAAGUUUGUAAACAAAGUAAGGGGCCGAUUACAUGGAGAACUUUCAACCCCGGGGUUGAACUCAGCCCUGUUAACCGUUUUUUUUCGAUUACAUGGUCGAUUUCAACCCCGGCGUUGAAACGCUAUACUAUACGUUCUCGGCAUCGAUUCCCGGAAGUAAAAAAGCCUUUAUUUUGUUUUCUUGUAAUAAAUAGUCACUACCACGUAUGCUCGAAUAACUCAUGAUAAUUUCAGCUCUGGGUUGAAACGAUUACAUGACAAAAUAUUCAACCCAGGGCUGAGUUCAACCCCGGGGUUGAAAUUUCAACCCUGCUAGCUGAAGCAGGGUUGAAAUUUCAACCCCUGAGUUGAACUCAGCCCUGGGUUGAAAAUUUUGUCAUGUAAUCGCGCGUUUGAUUUUCAUAGAGUUUUGUAUUACAGACAGGGCUGAAAUUUCAACCCGGUAUACAGGGCUGAGUUCAACCCCGGGGUUGAAAAUGCUCCAUGUAAUCGGCCCCUAAGAGUCGAUAAGUACAGAUGUUUGAGUAAAUAUUAAAAAUAUUGGUAACCCCAUGCAGUAUGUUGCUUUUAUGUACUCUUAACCCUUGUAAGCAAACAGUUACAGCUAGUAAUAAUAUAACAUUUUCAACACAUUCUAUAAACGCAAUAAAUCUGUCUACGCAAAUUUGGCAACGAGCUAUGUCCCAUUGUUGAAUUGCAUCCAAACUCUUACAAUUUAUACAUUUUGAAACCGCCAUAUAAUAAUAAUAAUAAUAUGUAUUUCUAUAGCGCCAUUUCCUAUAGCUCAAUGGCGCUUUACAGUAUUUAGAAAAUUUUAAUAUAUUUACAUCAAUCCAUUUAAAAAUUUAAGUUUAUUUACAAUUACUAUAUAAAAGUCAAUAUAAGAAGUGAAUAGGAUAAAAAUUCAGUUAGAUAGAUACAACUAGCAAUAGUUAAAAUUGGUAAAACUAUAUAGUGUCAAUUACUUAUAAAAAUGUUUAAAUAGAUAUGUCUUCAAUUUUGUUUUAAAAAUAGAUAUUGAUUCACUAUGUCGUACUGAAUCUGGAAGUUCAUUCCAUAGUUUUGGUGCUGCAUAUGAAAAUGAUCUUUGACCAUAGUUGAUCAACUUUAUGGGGGGUGAGAGUAGUCCUUUCAUCGAUGAACGUAGAUUCAUUGUUGAUUUGUGCGGUUGUAGCAUAUCCCUAAUGUAGCUUGGUGCAAGACCAUUUAGAGCUUUGUAGGUGGGAAACCAGUGCAGUUCUUUCAUAACAGGGGUGAUAUGAUCAAAUUUUCUACGUCUUGCUAUCAAACGCGCUGCACUGUUCUGCACAUUUUGUAAUCGAUCAAUCAUGAGUUUUGGCAACCCAUAUAGCAGAGAAUUAUACAGCUAUAUAAUGCUAAAAUCUAAAUAAAAUAUUUUGUACGUGCUAUGUUACGAAAUGUAAAUCGUUGACAUAAACGCACUAUUGCGCUGACACAUAUUUGUAUUAUUGUGUCAGUUUUAUUGGAGGGUGGGAAAGGGAGAUAUGGGUCACGUUUCACACAAAAAAAGCCGUUUCACGAUUCAACAAUAUGUCUUAAAAAAGCAAUUUCACGGAAAACUAGAUUCUAAUAAAAUAAUAUAAUAAUAAUAGGUUUAUUAAGAGUAUGUUUAAUGCAUGGUACAGUAUCUACGCUUUAAGUUCUCUCACUUCUCUACCUGGCAGUUAAAAACUACAUCAUGACUUACAAGUUUGAGUGACGAGUAUAUCCGACGACCUCCGAAAGGUAUCCUAAGUUUUUACUCUUGUGCAAUUGAGUGGGAUCAUAUACAUUGAUUAUCGCGUAUCAUGUCUUUUAUGACUAUUGUAUAUAUCGCUUGUAUAUAAAUGCCAUAGAUUUAUUUCAUUUACAUAUCAAAUGAGACUAAAAUAUCUCGAGAACGAGAAAAGCUAGAAACGUUGUAUAGUAACUUAUUUUACAAUAAAUUUUACACAUGACAUGUUCUUUCUGCCUGUAACUCAAUGCAUCUCUACGCAUCAAUUGGAUCUUCGCUUCAAUAGUCUUACAGUCUCUCUUUUCACCUUUACAGCCGAAGUUUGGGGUGGAGCAUCGUACAACAAAUACGUAAGUCAGAUUGAUAAGUUUGUCAAUCGUGCCUAUAGAAGUGGUUAUACAAGCAACAUAUCAGAUUUUAAAGCAACAAUAUCGAACAGAGACAAGAAAUUAUGGUCAAGAAUUAUAAAUGAUGAUAAGAAUGCUUUACACAAUCUUUUACCUAGUAAGUUAAAUCGACCUUUAAGACGGAGAGGUCAUGACUUUGAACUACCAAUUGUUAAAACUGAGAGGUUCAAAAACGCGUUUAUAAAUAGAUGUCUUUUCAAUUUCAUAUAAACUAUAUAUCUA